AUGAAACUCGGUGCAAUGAGGCCGUGCCGCUUGCCCCCGGCCAUCGCGGCCGCCGCGCUGGCCGCGGCGGCGCUGCUGGUGCUCUUCCGCGCGUCCCCUUACGGGCUCGCCUACCCCAGCGCGCGCGCCCAGCCAGGGCCGCCGCUCGUGGCGAGGGGUCCCGGGAGCCCGCCCUCCUUCGCGUACUGGAUAUCCGGCACGGGCGGAGAGGGCCGCAGGGUCCUCAGGCUGCUCAGGGCGGUGUACCACCCGAGGAACCUGUACCUGCUGCACUUGGACGCGGGGGCGUCGCGGGACGAGCGGACGGAGCUGGCCGCCGCUGCGCGGGACGACGCGGCGUGGAGGGAGUUCGCAAACGUCGACGUGGUAGGGGAGAGCUACGCGGUAGACAGGACUGGCUCCUCGGUGCUCGCCGCGGCGCUGCACGGCGCCGCCGUGCUGCUCAGGAUUGGGGCUGACUGGGACUGGUUCGUCACGCUCAGCUCCUGGGACUAUCCUCUCGUCACGCAGGACGAUCUCUUUUAUGCAUUUUCUUCUGUACCAAGGCACCUCAACUUUAUUGAUCACACAAGUAACCUCGGAUGGAAAGAGCAUGAAAGGUUUGAAAAACUUAUUGUCGACGCAAGUCUAUAUAUGGACAAGAAUACCCAGCCCUUUCCUGCGACAGAAACAAGGCAAAUGCCUGAGGCAUUCAAGAUAUUCACAGUACGUAGUAGGAACUUCACUGAACAUUGCGUGCAUGGCUGGGACAACCUCCCCCGCAGGCUACUGAUGUACUUUGCCAACGCUGCUUACUCCAUGGAAUCAUAUUUCCAGACCGUCAUAUGCAGUUCAUCUGACUUUAGAAACACCACUGUCAACGGCGAUCUACGUUACUUUGUUUGGGACGAUCCUCCUGGGCUGGAGCCGCGUAUUCUUGAUGAAACGCAUCUUGGUAACAUGGUGAACAGCAGCGCUGCCUUCGCAAGGCGGUUUGCGGAGGACGCACCAGUGCUGAAGAAGGUUGAUGAUGAGCUACUGAACCGUUCUUCGGCCCAGUUGGAUCCUGGUGUGUGGUGCCGGAAUUUGGGUGAAAAGCAAGGAGGAGGGGAUGUGAAGGCAUGCUCGAAAUGGGGCGACAUUAACGUUGUCAGGCCUGGGCGUGCUGGAGAGCGGUUGAGGCGCUUCAUAUCUGAGAUCAUUCAUAUAAGAGGAUGCACGGUCGCAGCAGUUAGCUGA
rnacentral:rRNA from 1 species